rnacentral:rRNA from 1 species
GACGGAGGGGGCUAGCGUUGUUCGGAAUGACUGGGCGUAAAGGGCGCGUAGGCGGUUCUUUAAGUAAGGCGUGAAAGCCCUGGGCUUAACCCAGGAGGUGCGUUUUAGACUGGAGAACUUGAGUGCGAGAGAGGAGAGUGGAAUCCCUAGUGUAGAGGUGAAAGUCGUAGAUAUUAGGAAGAACACCCGUGGCGAAGGCGGCUUUCUGGCUCGCAACUGACGCUGAGGCGCGAAAGCGUGGGGAGCAAACAGG